AACGAACGCUGGCGGCAUGCCUAACACAUGCAAGUCGAACGAGACCUUCGGGUCUAGUGGCGCACGGGUGCGUAACGCGUGGGAAUCCGCCCCGGGGUCUGGAAUAACAGUUAGAAAUGACUGCUAAUACCGGAUGAUGACUUCGGUCCAAAGAUUUAUCGCCCAGGGAUGAGCCCGCGUCGGAGUAGCCAGUUGGUGAGGUAAAAGCUCACCAAGGCGACGAUCCGUAGCUGGUCUGAGAGGAUGGUCAGCCACACUGGGAAUGACACACGGACCAAACUCCUGGGGGAGGCAGCAGUGGGGAAUAUUGCACAAUGGGCGCAAGCCUGAUGCAGCGACGCAGCGUGAAGGAUGAAGGUCUUCGGAUUGUAAACUUAUAUCAGCAGGGAAGAAUACCAUGACGGUACCUGACUAAGAAGCCCCGGCUAACUACGUGCCAGCCGCCGCGGUAAUAC
rnacentral:rRNA from 1 species